CGCCAACUUGUAUGAAAUUUUGGGAAAAAUAUGUACGGUAAUUUUUAAUGAAAUAAGUUGAAUAAUGAAUCUGAUGAUGAUUUGCAGAACUGCAUCACACUAACAAAGGAGAAUGUCAAAGGCAUAAUCAUGUGCAUUUAUGAUUGGAGGUAGGAAACUAAUAACCAAUGCACAUUGUGUGGAACAUGAUACACAGGUUAAAGUUAAGAGAAGAGGGGAAUAAUUGAAUCUUAUUAUAUAUAGCAUCAAGAACUGUACCACUAAAUAUUUUCUGAUUAGCCUGAUAGAAUGUUGCCUUAUAGCAAGGCCUAUAAUCAUGAUGAGGAUGAUGAUGAAGAAGAGGGGGUCACAGAAGAUGAUGAGAAACACAAUUUUCUGCAUAAUGAUGAAAAGAGAAAACAAGAACUUGACAAGUCAAUGCAAAAACCUAAUAUUUUGGUAGCUUUCUUACAGGUUUAUGCUAAAGGAAUUGCAAUGUGAAUAUUGAAUUGAACUCGAACUUGGACUUAUCGUUAUCCAUUUUGAAUGACGUUGCUUGUUGCGUGUUGAUGGUAAUGUUGCUAAUGAGAAUCAGAGGGAUUUUGUGUGUGCUUUUAAUGUGAAUUUACUAUUGUCUUAGGUGUUUCUAACACUUUAAGGAUUACAAAAAAGUUUUCUUUCUGCUUAGUUUUUAGCUUAGUGUGGAAAUCAGAUA